rnacentral:lncRNA from 1 species
AGGCUGCAGUGAAUUCUACAAAGAGGCUAUGGGAAAGAAACCUGGAAAGGUAGGGAGUACCCUUGGCUGUGUACAUUUGAGUAAAGAGAGCACUAUAAAAUCAAAAACCAAUGAAAUGGUUUCCAGAACACAGAACUAUUAAGCUUAAGAAAAGGACAGAAGGAACUGAAGAGAGAGGAACUGUUUUGGAGCAUCACACUUCCACCUCAGAAGAAAUAAGGAAGGAAGGAGGAGGGUGUUCCCACGGCUCUUCAACCAGGCCGGCUCUUCAGCCUACAUCCCCAUCUCAUCAAGUAAAAGGGAUUUUUCAACUGGACCAACCAGAUGGUUUAACAGUGCACUCCCACACCAUUCAACUACGCAAGGGAGAUACACUUAACAUAUGCAGUCGUAUAACACCUACUAACAUUUUCAAACAUUAAACCUUUAAAAAAGAGUUCUAAAGAAAUAGAAGCUUGAAGUAUCAUCUCUCAAGUAUAUAGACACUACUUCAUGGUGUGGUAAUAUAUGCAUAUAGAAGCUAGUAAACACCUCCAGGAGAUGCAAAAGGAAUUAGAACUGCCACAAGGUGCAAGCAAAACCUUGAGGUAAUCAAUCUGCAUCCCAUUUUGGAUGAGAAUAUUUGCAACUUUGAAGGUUAUUUUAAGGACAGCAGCAGAAGAAUUAUGGCAGGUAUCUGAAAUUCAUUUCUGUGCUUUGCCGAGGACCCAUGGGAUGCCAUUUGCAGAUGAGAAAACUAAAGAAUAGCUUUAUCUUCCAGCUCUUCACGGAAAAAAAAAUGGCAACAAUAAAAUCAGCAACUCCUGCCAAAUAAAUGGGCAUAAAAAAGAAAUCAUAGACUGCUGGCAAUGGUGGGGAAAAAGUUAUAAAAAUUGUCUCUGCACCAUCUUCCUUUUGUCCUCUAAAAUAUUCACAUUAGCAAAAGUAUAUAACAGCUGAUGAAGAAAUACUGAUAAUUUGUCUUUGUAAGUAUAUCGAAAACAUUUCAAGAUCUAGAAAUUUGAAAUUGUUGACAAGUAUUUAUCUGUUUAUUCACAAAUUUGAAAUCAACCUCAGGAAUGCUCAUUCUGAUUGAUAUACUUAGGUCAUAAAUUUUUAAGACCACAGAUUUCCAGGGACUUUUUGGAAAAUCACCCAGUAAAACAAUGUCUUUUUGCAGGGGACUAGCUUCAGUAUUUUGGCUUCUUUUUGCUUCUUUGCAACAAAUUGGGAGACAAAGGUGGGAAAGUUUUUUUCAAUAAGUUAAUAAUUUUUUAAAGGUCAAAAUUUUGUUCUUUGCUUAUAUUAGAAUUAAACACUGUGAGAUUCUCUCUGA